UAGGGAAUUUUCCACAAUGGGCGAAAGCCUGAUGGAGCAACGCCGCGUGCAGGAUAAGGCCUUCGGGUUGUAAACUGCUUUUAUUUGUGACGAAUAUGACGGUAGCAAAUGAAUAAGGAUCGGCUAACUCCGUGCCAGCAGCCGCGGUCAUACGGAGGAUCCAAGCGUUAUCCGGAAUUACUGGGCGUAAAGAGUUGCGUAGGUGGCAUUGUAUGUCGGUAGUGAAAGCGUGAGGCUCAACCUCAUAAACAUUAUCGAAACUGCAAGGCUAGAGGACGAGAGAGGUAAUUGGAAUUCCCAGUGUAGGAGUGAAAUCCGUAGAUAUUGGGAGGAACACCGAUGGCGUAGGCAGAUUACUGGCUCGUUCCUGACACUAAGGCACGAAAGCGUGGGGAGCAAACGGGAUUAGAUACCCCCGUAGUCC
rnacentral:rRNA from 1 species